rnacentral:rRNA from 1 species
GACAGAGGGUGCAAACGUUGCUCGGAAUCACUGGGCGUAAAGGGCGUGUAGGCGGGAAGGAAAGUCAGAUGUGAAAUCCCCAGGCUCAACCUGGGAACUGCAUUUGAAACUCCCUUUCUUGAGUACCGGAGAGGAAAGUGGAAUUCCUGGUGUAGAGGUGAAAUUCGUAGAUAUCAGGAGGAACACCAGUGGCGAAGGCGGCGACCUGGUCCGAUACUGACGCUGAGGCGCGAAAGCGUGGGGAGCAAACAGG